AUGCACGCUGGCGGCGUGCCUAAUACCUGCAAGUCGAGCGAACGGACGAGAAGCUUGCUUCUCUGAUGUUAGCGGCGGACGGGUGAGUAACACGUGGAUAACCUACCUAUAAGACUGGGAUAACUUCGGGAAACCGGAGCUAAUACCGGAUAAUAUUUUGCACCGCAUGGUUCAAAAGUGAAAGACGGUCUUGCUGUCACUUAUAGAUGGAUCCGCGCUGCAUUAGCUAGUUGGUAAGGUAACGGCUUACCAAGGCAACGAUGCAUAGCCGACCUGAGAGGGUGAUCGGCCACACUGGAACUGAGACACGGUCCAGACUCCUACGGGAGGCAGCAGUAGGGAAUCUUCCGCAAUGGGCGAAAGCCUGACGGAGCAACGCCGCGUGAGUGAUGAAGGUCUUCGGAUCGUAAAACUCUGUUAUUAGGGAAGAACAUAUGUGUAAGUAACUGUGCACAUCUUGACGGUACCUAAUCAGAAAGCCACGGCUAACUACGUG
rnacentral:rRNA from 1 species